rnacentral:lncRNA from 1 species
AUGUUCAUACUCAAAAGAUUUGCUCAGUUUAACAAUAAUAGUAGUGCAAAAUUGCCAUUGAAUCAUUAGUUGCUCAUUUUGAGAUAGACAUGAUAGAGUUUGAAGUGCUUUGAGAUCUCAAAGACCUAUUCUUGAAUCCUUCUAUCAUAUGAAUGAUUCAACCCUAUUCAAUCUUGAGAUUCUAGUUUUGGGACAAUUUUCACCUGCAAAAUAAGACAGAGACAUUGGUGAUC